rnacentral:lncRNA from 1 species
UUUACUUUCCAAUCGGACUCUAUGACAAUUGACACUAUGUCUAACUUAUUUUCCAUCUCUCGAGUGUAAAACAAGCCACAAUAUUCAUACAAUUGGUGAUCAAGUAAUUGUAGCGAAAAUUAAAUCAAUGUCAAUUAUUCAAAUUGAAAUCGUGUUUUAACGUCAAAAUAAAUAAAAUUCAAAAGUUAAAAGUUCAUAAUACAGUGUUCAUUGCAAAUUUUAGAACAAAAUAAUUUUGUCAAACAUAAUGUCGAGAUUAAACGAAGAAAAUAUAAAAGACAUUACCAAAAAUCAACGAAACGUGAUUAAUGUAUUCAAUUUUCAUCCCUUUUUCAGUUGGCUCUGCGUGUAUAUAUUCCUAUGUUAUUUUCUCCAACAGCCAGCCGCUGACUUUGCUUUCUUUCCUUUGCGUGUAUGCUGUCCCCUUGUGUCUCUUGUGUGUGUGUAUAUAUAUCAACACGCUACUACUUUUUUAUUUCCAGCAGCGUGUAUGCUCAUUCUCUGUUUUUAAUUGUCCUAGGUUUUCCAAUUGCAAGUGAAUUUCAGCCCAAGUAAAAGUCAUGCUAGGUCCAUUUAAUGUACAAUCUUCUUCAAGUCCUCAAUUCCUUAAGGUGUGGAAUAUUAUCUACAAACUUCCAUCCAAUUACCAAUUUAUCCUUCUUUAUUUUCCAAUUGCUUCAAACGAGUCCAUCACUAAAAACAAAAGAAAAUUAACUCAAAUUAAGUAGAAAUUAAUGAUUUGGCGACAUAAAAGUUUAGUAAUAUGGCAUAAAUAAGUGCGCGAAAUGCACUUAUACUCCCCACCAGUGUCCACACGGCGAAGCCUUACCCUCUGAUCUUGCCACCCUGUUUUCCAACUUCCUUCGAUAUCAAGUCUGCUAUACCAUAAAGUAUAUAAGAGGUAAAUACAAGAUCUGUUUCUGACCAUAAACAUCUGAUAAAAUUCAGAAGAAUCGAGACAAAAGGUAAUACCUCCAGUAAUUCCCAGUGUCAGAUUCACCAUCACCUCCAAAUCAACUCACCUGCACAUGCAUUUGAUUUUAUCAAUUUAUGGUUGGAUUUUUAUUCAAGAAGUAUUAAAGGUACUUUGUUAAAUAACUACUCAUCUCAAUUUAAGUAACAAGAGAUAGAAGCAAAUACUAAAUUAAAAUCAAGGAAUCUGGAAAGCAGGGAAAUCGGCGUGUGAGUUUACACACUGCCACUGAAGUAAUCAAUCCAGAUAUCAGCAUCAUCUAUUACUUCAAUAUCAAUCUAUUCUCUUUCAAGGUUCGACUUUGUGAUUAAAUUUCUCAUCUUCUAUGAUAGUGGCCAAAGUCAAGCAGAGAAUAAAGAGAAAGAGAAAGGAAGAAAAAUAGAUGAGGAU